rnacentral:rRNA from 1 species
GACGUAGGGGGCCAGCGUUGUUCGGAAUUACUGGGUGUAAAGGGUUCGUAGGCGGUGCGGCAAGUCGGGCGUGAAAUCUCUGGGCUUAACCCAGAGGCUGCUUCCGAAACUGCUGUGCUUGAGUGUGGGAGAGGCGCGUGGAAUUGCAGGUGUAGCGGUGAAAUGCGUAGAUAUCUGCAGGAACACCCGUGGCGAAAGCGGCGCGCUGGACCACUACUGACGCUGAGGAACGAAAGCUAGGGGAGCAAACAGG